AAACAGCUGAAAGAGAGACUGGGGACGCAUUCAGUGUUCCUGGCCUCAUCACUGACUCCUGGUGUCAAGGAGAAGCCAGAGAUGCCCAGGGAAAAGCAACUGUUGGAACACUCAAUUUCCCGUGGAACCUUCUCAGGAGGCUGGCCACUUCACCUGAACUAUCAAGGGAUCAAGAAAAACUUGGAGAGAAGCUGAAAGAGACAGCUGUGCUCCACCCCGUGGCCAGGGCUCCCUGAGGAGACUCCGAGGAUCAAAGGCCGACAGCACAGUGCAGAGGCCCAGCUGCACACUGAGCGCUCAGUGUGCAACUAGGCUCCUCCCUGUACGCAGGGCUCAGUGGAAUAGCUGCUUGCUGUUCUAGCCGCAUAGUAAAAUGAUCCACACGGUUAUUGGAACUGGCAGAGAAGCAAGUCCAGAUGGGUCAAAGUCCCACCUUUGAAACUCAAAGUGUUAAAAGCAUUUAGAUGGCACUCUGGUGAAAUGGGAAUUAUGUCAAGAUACAGAACAGCAAGGCACAACCAGUUUGACUACGUUAAAGCUAAUACCCUCCUCACUCAAGGCAACAGUUAAAAUUUAAACCAGCAGCCACACAGUAGAUGGAGCACAUAAAGAGCACACACAAGCAGACAGAACAAUGGAAAAGUAGACACAUGAUAGGAUCCCGCCGUUAAUAGAUGAUAAAACCCAAUGGCCAGGCAAUGGGAAGAGCGCCCUCUCUCUAUCAACCAGAGAAGUGCAGUUACUACAACUGCAAUCAUCAGGCUCAGGGAGAUGGAGGACCUCACAGUGACCUUGGUGAUAAUGGGUGGGUUAGCUCUCGGCCACUCUGAAAGGAAUGUUUGCUGUCCAACCUUGAGGAAAAGCAAUGUGGUGUCUUUCUCCUAACAAAGCUGGAGCUGGGCUUGUCCCUCUCCCUUCCAGACAUUCUACAAAGUGACAUCCAGGAAUGUGCCCAGAGAAGCAUGGGAACAUUGAGUCCCUCAGGCAGAAAGGUGUUGUCCACAGCUGUCACUCAGCUCUGCAUGGAAUGAGCAGUUGACCAUGGCAUAUCUCGCUCGAGCAAAUGAUAGUGACAAAGGUGCCAGCACCUGGCCCUGCACAGAGUCAGAUCACAUAAAAUGUAAUGUUGACUGUGAAAAAAAAUAAAAAAAUAUAUAUGCA